CCUACGGGCGGCAGCAGUGAGGAAUAUUGGUCAAUGGACGGAAGUCUGAACCAGCCAUGCCGCGUGCAGGAAGAAGGCUCUAUGAGUUGUAAACUGCUUUUGUACAAGGGUAAACCUGAAUACGUAUCUUCAGCUGAAAGUACUGUAUGAAUAAGGAUCGGCUAACUCAGUGCCAGCAGCCGCGGUAAUACGGAGGAUCCAAGCGUUAUCCGGAUUUAUUGGGUUUAAAGGGUGCGUAGGCGGAUUGGUAAGUUAGAGGUGAAAUGUCCGAGCUUAACUCGGGAACUGCCUCUAAUACUGUUGAACUAGAGAGUAGAUGCGGAAGGCGGAAUGUAUGGUGUAGCGGUGAAAUGCUUAGAGAUAAUGCAGAACACCGAUGGCGAAGGCAGCUUACCAAUCUAUAUCUGACGUUGAGGCACGAAAGCGUGGGGAGCAAACAGGAUUAGAUACCCGGGUAGUC
rnacentral:rRNA from 1 species